AGUUGUAGAAUCACUGGUGAAUAAGGGGUGGGCAAGUUCUGGUGUCAGCCGCCGCGGUAAAACCAGCACCUCGAGUGGUCAGGAGGUUUAUUGGGCCUAAAGCAUCCGUAGCCGGUUGCAUAAGUUUUCGGUUAAAUCUAUGCGCUUAACGUAUAGGCCGCCGAAAAUACUGUGCAGCUAGGGAGUGGGAGAGGUACACGGUACUCGAUAGGAAGGGGUAAAAUCCUUUGAUCUAUUGAUGACCACCUGUGGCGAAGGCGGUGUACCAGAACACGUUCGACGGUGAGGGAUGAAAGCUGGGGGAGCAAACCGGAUUAGAUACCCGGGUAGUCCCAGCUGUAAACGAUGCAGACUCGGUGAUGCAUUGGCUUGUGGCCAAUGCAGUGCCGCAGGGAAGCCGUUAAGUCUGCCGCCUGGGAAGUACGUACGCAAGUAUGAAACUUAAAGGAAUUGGCGGGGGAGCACCACAAGGGGUGAAGCCUGCGGUUCAAUUGGAGUCAACGCCAGAAAUCUUACCUGGGGAGACAGCAGAAUGAAGGUCAAGCUGAAGACUUUACCAGACACGCUGAGAGGUGGUGCAUGGCCGUCGCCAGCUCGUGCCGUGAGAUGUCCUGUUAAGUCAGGUAACGAGCGAGACCCCUGCGUCUAGUUGCUACCAUUACUCUCUGGAGCAGUGGAGCGAAUUAGACGGACCGCCACAGUUAAUGUGGAGGAAGGAAGGGGCCACGGCAGGUCAGUAUGCCCCGAAACCCUAGGGCUACACGCGGGCUGCAAUGGUAUUGACAAUGUGUUCCGAAUCCGAAAGGAGGAGGCAAUCAUCAAACAUAUCUCAGUAUGACUGAG
rnacentral:rRNA from 1 species